AGCAGCCGCGGUAAUUCCAGCUCCAAUAGCGUAUAUUAAAGUUGUUGCAGUUAAAAAGCUCGUAGUUGAAUUUCGGAAUCUGUCCAUCGGUCGGGCUUCACUGUUCGUACUGGUGUGGUGGGUUCUUACCUUCUGAAUAACCAGCAUGCCAUUAAUUUGGUGCGUUGGGGAAGCAGGACUAUUACCUUGAAAAAAUUAGAGUGCUCAAAGCAGGCUAGUGCCUGAAUACAUUAGCAUGGAAUAAUAAAAUAGGACGGCAUGGUUCUAUUUUGUUGGUUUCUAGGAUCACCGUAAUGAUUAAUAGGGAUAGUUGGG
rnacentral:rRNA from 1 species